rnacentral:rRNA from 1 species
ACGGGUGAGUAACACGUGAGUAACCUGCCCUUAACUCUGGGAUAAGCCUGGGAAACUGGGUCUAAUACCGGAUAGGAGCGUCCACCGCAUGGUGGGUGUUGGAAAGAUUUAUCGGUUUUGGAUGGACUCGCGGCCUAUCAGCUUGUUGGUGAGGUAAUGGCUCACCAAGGCGACGACGGGUAGCCGGCCUGAGAGGGUGACCGGCCACACUGGGACUGAGACACGGCCCAGACUCCUACGGGAGGCAGCAGUGGGGAAUAUUGCACAAUGGGCGCAAGCCUGAUGCAGCGACGCCGCGUGAGGGAUGACGGCCUUCGGGUUGUAAACCUCUUUCAGUAGGGAAGAAGCGAAAGUGACGGUACCUGCAGAAGAAGCACCGGCUAACUACGUGCCAGCAGCCGCGGUAAUACGUAGGGUGCGAGCGUUAUCCGGAAUUAUUGGGCGUAAAGAGCUCGUAGGCGGUUUGUCGCGUCUGUCGUGAAAGUCCGGGGCUUAACCCCGGAUCUGCGGUGGGUACGGGCAGACUAGAGUGCAGUAGGGGAGACUGGAAUUCCUGGUGUAGCGGUGGAAUGCGCAGA